rnacentral:rRNA from 1 species
GUCUACAACCAUAGCACCCUGAACACACCUGAUCUCAUCUGAUCUUGGGAGCUAAAGCAGGGCCUGGUCUGGUUAGUACUUGGAUGGGGGAAAGAGAGAUGGGAAGAUA